rnacentral:rRNA from 1 species
UACGUAGGGCGCAAGCGUUGUCCGGAAUUAUUUGGGCGUAAAGAGCUCGUAGGCGGCUUUGUCACGUCGGAUGUGAAAGCCCCGAGGCUUUAACCUCGGGCCUGCAGUGGGUACGGGCAGACUAGAGUGCGGUAGGGGAGAUUGGAAUUCCUGGUGUAGCGGUGGAAUGCGCAGAUAUCAGGAGGAACACCGGUGGCGAAGGCGGGUCUCUGG